UUUUUUGUGCUGCUGCUAGCCCUUUAACUCCCAGAGAAAGGAUUUGUACUUUUAAACUGGCACUUCGGAUGCAGUCGAAGUGCUGAAGUAGUCGCCAUUCAAAAACCGAACACAUGGCGGCGGCCAUUUUAAGUUAGUCGAACACGUUCAGCAGUGUGUGCUCCUGAAUCUAUGGAACCAAAAUCUGCUACACAUUUCCGC